UACGUAGGGUGCAAGCGUUAAUCGGAAUUACUGGGCGUAAAGCGUGCGCAGGCGGUUUUGUAAGUCUGUCGUGAAAGCCCCGGGCUCAACCUGGGAAUUGCGAUGGAGACUGCAAGGCUUGAAUCUGGCAGAGGGGGGUAGAAUUCCACGUGUAGCAGUGAAAUGCGUAGAGAUGUGGAGGAACACCGACGGCGAAGGCAGCCCCCUGGGUCAAGAUUGACGCUCAUGCACGAAAGCGUGGGGAGCAAACAGG
rnacentral:rRNA from 1 species